ACUCCUACGGGAGGCAGCAGUGGGGAAUAUUGCACAAUGGGCGCAAGCCUGAUGCAGCCAUGCCGCGUGUAAUGAAGAAGGCCUUCGGUUGUAAAGUACUUUCAGCAGUGAGGAAGGUGGUGGCAGUUAAUAGCUGUAUCAUUUGACGUUAGCUGCAGAAGAAGCACCGGCUAACUCCGUGCCAGCAGCCGCGGUAAUACGGAGGGUGCGAGCGUUAAUCGGAAUUACUGGGCGUAAAGCGCAUGCAGGUGGUUUGUUAAGUCAGAUGUGAAAGCCCGGGGCUCAACCUCGGAAUUGCAUUUGAAACUGGCAGACUAGAGUACUGUAGAGGGGGUAGAAGUUUCAGGUGUAGCGGUGAAAUGCGUAGAGAUCUGAAGGAAUACCGGUGGCGAAGGCGGCCCCCUGGACAGAUACUGACACUCAGAUGCGAAAGCGUGGGGAGCAAACAGGAUUAGAUACCCUGUAGCACA
rnacentral:rRNA from 1 species